rnacentral:rRNA from 1 species
GACGAACGCUGGCGGCGUGCCUAAUACAUGCAAGUAGAACGCACAGUUUAUACCGUAGCUUGCUACACCAUAGACUGUGAGUUGCGAACGGGUGAGUAACGCGUAGGUAACCUGCCUGGUAGCGGGGGAUAACUAUUGGAAACGAUAGCUAAUACCGCAUAAUAUUAAUUAUUGCAUGAUAAUUGAUUGAAAGAUGCAACUGCAUCACUACCAGAUGGACCUGCGUUGUAUUAGCUAGUAGGUGAGGUAACGGCUCACCUAGGCGACGAAACAUAGCCGACCGGGGGGGGCGAGCGCCCCCUCUGGGACUGCGCCCGGCCCCAGACCCCUGCGGGCGGCAGCGGGAGGGAUUUUUCGGCAAGGGACGAAGGUCUGACCGCGCACCGCGGGGUGAGGAAAGAGGGUUUUGGGAUCGUAAAGCUCGUUUGUAAGAGAAGAACGGGUGGGGGGGGGAAAAGUACACGCUGUGACGGUUUCUAACCAGAAGGGGCCGGCUAACUACGUC